rnacentral:rRNA from 1 species
CCUACGGGUGGCAGCAGUGAGGAAUAUUGGUCAAUGGGCGCGAGCCUGAACCAGCCAAGUAGCGUGAAGGAUGACUGCCCUACGGGUUGUAAACUUCUUUUAUAAAGGAAUAAAGUGAGGCAAGUGUGCGUUUUUGUAUGUAGGAUAUGAAUAAGGAUCGGCUAACUCCGUGCCAGCAGCCGCGGUAAUACGGAGGAUCCGAGCGUUAUCCGGAUUUAUUGGGUUUAAAGGGAGCGUAGAUGGGUUGUUAAGUCAGUUGUGAAAGUUUGCGGCUCAACCGUAAAAUUGCAAUUGAUACUGGCAGCCUUGCGUACAGUUGCGGUAGGCGGAUUUCGUGGUGUAGCUG